rnacentral:rRNA from 1 species
CAUGCUGUAAACGAUGUCAACUAGCCGUUGGGGACCUUGAGUCUUUAGUGGCGCAGCUAACGCGAUAAGUUGACCGCCUGGGGAGUACGGUCGCAAGACUAAAACUCAAAUGAAUUGACGGGGACCCGCACAAGCGGUGGAUGAUGUGGUUUAAUUCGAUGCAACGCGAAAAACCUUACCCACCUUUGACAUGUACGGAAUCCUUUAGAGAUAGAGGAGUGCUCGAAAGAGAGCCGUAACACAGGUGC